GACGAACGCUGGCGGCGUGCUUAACACAUGCAAGUCGAACGAUGAAGCUCAGCUUUUGUUGGGCGGAUGAGUGGCGCACGGGUAAGUAACACGUGAGUAACCUGCCUCCUUCUUUGGGAUAACGCCCGGAAACGGGUGCUAAUACUGGAUAUUGACUUGUUUUCCCAUGGGGGAUGGUGGAAAGGGGCUGUCUGGUGGUGGAUGUGCCUGGGGCCUAUCAGUUUGUUGGUGGGGUGAUGGCCUAGCACGGGUUUGACGGGGGGCAGGCCCCAGAGGGUGACCGAUCACGUUGUGACUAAGAUAGGGCCCAGACUCCUACGGGGUGCAGCAGGGGGGAAUAUUGCGCAAUGGGCGCAAGCCUGAUGCAGCGACGGAGCGUGAGGGAUGGAGGCCGUCGGGUUGGGAACCUGUUUCGCUAAUGAUCAAGCCGCAAAAAUGGUUGUGGUGAGGGUAGUGGGUAAAGAAGCGCCGGCUAACUACGUG
rnacentral:rRNA from 1 species